rnacentral:rRNA from 1 species
UACGUAGGGAGCAAGCGUUGUCCGGAAUCAUUGGGCGUAAAGCGCGCGUAGGCGGCCCCGUAAGUCCGCUGUGAAAGUCAAAGGCUCAACCUUUGAAAGCCGGUGGAAACUGUGGGGCUAGAGUCCGGAAGAGGCGAGUGGAAUUCCUGGUGUAGCGGUGGAAUGCGCAGAUAUCAGGAGGACACCGGUGGCGAAGGCGGCUCACUGGACUGGUAUUGACGCUGAGGUGCGAAAGCGUGGGGAGCAAAGCAGG